GUAGGUGGCAAGCGUUGUCCGGAAUUAUUGGGCGUAAAGCGCGCGCAGGCGGUCCUUUAAGUCUGAUGUGAAAGCCCACGGCUCAACCGUGGAGGGUCAUUGGAAACUGGGGGACUUGAGUACAGAAGAGGAAAGCGGAAUUCCAAGUGUAGCGGUGAAAUGCGUAGAGAUUUGGAGGAACACCAGUGGCGGAGGCGGCUUUCUGGUCUGUAACUGACGCUGAGGCGCGAAAGCGUGGGGAGCAAACAGGAUUAGAUACCCUGGUAGUCCACGCCGUAAACGAUGAGUGCUAAGUGUUAGGGGGUUUCCCGCCCCCCUUAAUGCUGCAGCUAACGCAUUAAGCACUCCGCCUGGGGAGUACGGCCGCAAGGCUG
rnacentral:rRNA from 1 species